rnacentral:rRNA from 1 species
CAGUCGCCGCGGUAACACGUAGGGUGCAAGCGUUAUCCGGAAUUAUUGGGCGUAAAGAGCUCGUAGGCGGUUUGUCGCGUCUGCUGUGAAAACUGGAGGCUCAACCUCCAGCCUGCAGUGGGUACGGGCAGACUAGAGUGCGGUAGGGGAGAUUGGAAUUCCUGGUGUAGCGGUGGAAUGCGCAGAUAUCAGGAGGAACACCGAUGGCGAAGGCAGAUCUCUGGGCCGUAACUGACGCUGAGGAGCGAAAGCAUGGGGAGCGAACAAGAUUAGAGACCCCCGUAGUCCCUGUCUCUUAUAC